AACGAACGCUGGCGGCAGGCUUAACACAUGCAAGUCGAACGCCCCGCAAGGGGAGUGGCAGACGGGUGAGUAACGCGUGGGAAUCUACCCAUCCCUACGGAACAACUCCGGGAAACUGGAGCUAAUACCGUAUACGCCCUUCGGGGGAAAGAUUUAUCGGGGAUGGAUGAGCCCGCGUUGGAUUAGCUAGUUGGUGGGGUAAAGGCCUACCAAGGCGACGAUCCAUAGCUGGUCUGAGAGGAUGAUCAGCCACAUUGGGACUGAGACACGGCCCAAACUCCUACGGGAGGCAGCAGUGGGGAAUAUUGGACAAUGGGCGCAGGCCUGAUCCAGCCAUGCCGCGUGAGUGAUGAAGGCCUUAGGGUUGUAAAGCUCUUUCACCGAUGAAGUUAAUGACGGUAGUCGGAGAAGAAGCCCCGGCUAACUUCGUGCCAGCAGCCGCCGUAA
rnacentral:rRNA from 1 species